AACGCGAAGAACCUUACCAAGGCUUGACAUAUACGGGAACGCUGCAGAAAUGUGGUUCUCUUUGGACACUCGUAUACAGGUGGUGCAUGGUUGUCGUCAGCUCGUGUCGUGAGAUGUUGGGUUAAGUCCCGCAACGAGCGCAACCCUCGUUCUAUGUUGCCAGCACGUUAUGGUGGGAACUCAUAGGAGACUGCCGGGGUCAACUCGGAGGAAGGUGGGGAUGACGUCAAAUCAUCAUGCCCCUUAUGUCUUGGGCUUCACGCAUGCUACAAUGGCCGGUACAAAGGGCUGCGAUACCGUAAGGUGGAGCGAAUCCCAAAAAGCCGGUCUCAGUUCGGAUUGAGGUCUGCAACUCGACCUCAUGAAGUCGGAGUCGCUAGUAAUCGCAGAUCAGCAACGCUGCGGUGAAUACGUUCCCGGGCCUUGUACACACCGACUGUAC
rnacentral:rRNA from 1 species